UUUUUUUUUUUUUUUCUCCUCCUGCUUUUGUCAUUCUCUAUGUCGUCUUUGUAGUGCUCUUGAAGGAACAGAGGGUUUUUGUACAUAUUAUAUAGAUCCCACAUCCUCAUUCCUUUGUGUCUUCUAGUAUGAGUGAUGACUUUCAAACAUUUUAUAUGAUAAAACAAAUGAGAAGAUUCAGAGUGUGUGUGUGUGUGUGUGUGUGUACAAAUGGAACCCAGAGGACAAUUUUAGGUAUCAUUCUUCAGGUUUUUAUUUAAUUUUACUUUUUGAGACAAGGUCUGUCAUUAGCUAGGAACUUGGCAAAUGGCCUAGGCUGUAUAUGGGCUGUGAGCUUUAGGGAUCUCUUGGUAUCUGCCUCCUCAAUGCUGGGAUUGUGAAUGAGUGCAGUAGUCUGCCUGCAUGUGUGUAUGUGCCGCCGAUCCUCUGGAACUGGAGUUACAGAUGGUUGUGAAACUACCUUAUGGGUGAUAGGAACUCAACCUGGGGACCCUUGCAAGAGUGGUGGCUUAAACCUCUGAGCAAUCUUGCUGGCCCCCUCCCCCUUCUUUGUUUUUAUUUUUGAGACAGGGUCUACUGUGUAGUCCUGGCUAGCCUUAAUCAUAGAGUUUUGCCUGCCUCUGCCUCCCAAGUGCUGGGAUUAAAGUUUUGUGCCACUCUAUCCAUCCCAUACUACUUUAGGUUUUGGGAUUGUUGUUGUUUUUUUAAUAGCUUUUAAAUUUAUUUUUUAAAAAUUGUAUGUGUAUAGGUGUUUUAUCUGUAUGUAUACCAUGUGGAUGCCUAGUGUUCAUAGAUGCCUGAGAGGGCCUUGGGACUGGAGUUACAGACAGAUAUGAGUUGCCUUGUGGGUGUAGGAAUUGAACCCAGGUCCUCUGGAGGAGGUGCUCAUUCCAGGUCCUAUCAUAUUACUUUUAAUACAGUAUUAUCUUUGCAAGCCUGUUGGUAUUACUUUGCUUUGCAUUAACUUUAAGAUAGGGUCUUAAGAUUAUCUUCUUCAACUUCCUUAAGUGCUAAAAUGAUAGGGUUAAUAAAACCACGCCCGGCUUUAGUUCUUUUUUAAAAGAUUUAUUUAUUUAUUUUAUGUAUAUGCGCACACUGUAGCUGUCUUCAGACACACCAGAAGAGGGCAUUGGAUCCCAUUACAGAUGGUUGUGGGCCACCAUAUGGUUGUUGGCAGUUGAACUCAGGACCUCUGGAAGAGCAGCCAGUGCUCUUAACCUCUGAGCCAUCUCUCCAGCCCCUUUAGUUUUUUAGAUAUAGUUUUUAGUGCUAUCACCUCACUGGAAGGAGUUUAAUUGGCAUUUGCAUUGAAUUUGUGGAUUAAAUUGGAAGAAAUUGGGUUUUGACACAUUUUUGAGCCUUACUGUCCUUGAAUACAGAACAUCUGUACAUCUUUAGAAUUUUUAGUUUUCUGCAUAUUUGUGUAUGUGUGUAUACUCCAGUGUGCCCUUGUGCAUGUUAGAGUGUAUGUAUUUGGAGACCAGAGGUCAAACCCCCCCCCCCCCCCCCAGCUGUUCUGUCUACCCUUUAUUUUUAAGUCUGGAUUUCUCUCUGGGAUCUGAGGAUCACUCAUAAGGCCAAUCUGGCUGGCCAGUGAACCUCAGGGGGAGUCCACUUCCAUAGUGCUGGGUUUGCAAGUGUUUGUGUGAUUGGAAUUACAGGUGAGCCACCUGCCUCACACCCUCAGCAUUCAUGUGGGUUUCUGGAAAUCUGAAUUUAGGUCUCCAGGAUUAGGUGAAAAAACUUCACUGUGAGAUGUUUUAGAGGUGUUAGUAAUUUCAAGAGAAAGAUACAUGACUUGAGAGUAAUAGGACUUGGGCUUGAUGUCACAUACCUUUAAUCUCAGUCUCUACAAGUGAAUCUCUGUGAGCUCAAGGCCAGCCAGGUCUGCAUAGUAUCAGGAUAGCCAGGCUACAUAGUUUGCCCCAUGCCCCUCCCCCAACAACAAAGGCUAUAGGAAGUAAUGUUUAGGGCUUAGUCACUAUAUAUUAGUAGAUAGUCUCAGAACAGUGUUCCUCAACCUUCCUAAUGCUGCCCUUUAACACAGUUCCUCAUGAUAUGGUAACCACCAACUAUAAGAUGAUUUUUGUUAUACAUUUUAAUCUCUUUACAAGCUUCUUCCCAUUACAACUGCUGGGUGACUUCAAAGAUUCAAAUUGAAUUAUCAGGUCACUUUAGUUUUUCUUUUCAUCCUUUUAAUCUUGCAUUAUCUAGCUCCUGUCUACUUCCUACUCCAUCAUUCUUACUUUCUUAUGUUGUACUUACUUCUUUAUAUUGGGGACUUUUCAGUUUCCAAACAUGCUAAACCUCCUCUCUGUUUUACUGAGGAUGGACUUGCUGUGUGAUAGGUCAAGUUUCUAAGUUGGGCUUUUAUUAUUUUUGAGACAGGGUCUCUGUGUAAUCCUGGCUGCCCUGGAACUUGGGAUAUAUAUAGGUCAAGUCAGUCUCCUGAGUAUGGGGAUAGCACUGGAAAUGUAAAUGAAGGAAAAUACCUAAUAAUAAUAAAAAAAAAAUACCAUGCC
rnacentral:lncRNA from 1 species